GUGUGCCCCCCAGUGGUGGUUCUGGGAAUGACCAAGGUUGGCUGCUCAAGUCAGUUGUCUGGGCAGGUGGCAGAAGACAUUCCACAUGGAUGCGAAGCGUGACCCAGUCACUUGGAACAGCUGGACCUGUUGCAUCUUCCUCCUUAGCAGUAAGCCUCGUGAACAUCGGAUCCUUCCAGAAAAGCCUU